AGAGUUUGAUCAUGGCUCAGGACGAACGCUGGCGGCGUGCCUAACACAUGCAAGUCGAGCGGGGAUACGGAUGGAGUAAUCUGACCGUAUUCUAGCGGCGGACGGGUGAGUAACGCGUGAGCAACCUGUCCUUGUCUGGGGGAUAAGGAGCCGAAAGGCUCUCUAAUACCGCAUGAGACCACGGCGUCACAUGACGCAGAGGUUAAAGGAUUUCGGUCCGGAUGAGGGUGGGCUCGCGUCUGAUUAGCUGGUUGGUGGGGUAACGGCUCACCAAGGCAACGAUCAGUAGCCGACCUGAGAGGGUGAUCGGCCACAUUGGAACUGAGACACGGUCCAAACUCCUACGGGAGGCAGCAGUGGGGAAUAUUGGGCAAUGGGCGAAAGCCUGACCCAGCAACGCCGCGUGAAGGAAGAAGGUUUUCGGAUCGUAAACUUCUAUCCCGGGUGAAGAUAAUGACGGUAGCCCGGAAGGAAGCCCCGGCUAACUACGUGCCAGCAGCCGCGGUAAUACGUAGGGGGCAAGCGUUGUCCGGAAUGAUUGGGCGUAAAGGGCGCGUAGGCGGCCAUGUAAGUCCGACGUGAAAUUCCUGUUUUUAAGGCAGGAAUUGCGUUGGAAACUGUGUGGCUUGAGUGCAGGAGAGGUAAGCGGAAUUCCCGGUGUAGCGGUGAAAUGCGUAGAGAUCGGGAGGAACACCAGUGGCGAAGGCGGCUUACUGGACUGUAACUGAGCUGAGGCGCGAAAGUGUGGGGAGCAAACAGGAUUAGAUACCCUAGUAGUCC
rnacentral:rRNA from 1 species